AUUGAACGCUGGCGGCAUGCCUUACACAUGCAAGUCGAACGGUAGAGGGGGGCAACCCCUUGAGAGUGGCGAACGGGUGAGUAAUAUAUCGGAACGUGCCCAGUCGUGGGGAUAACGUAGCGAAAGUUACGCUAAUACCGCAUACGAUCUAAGGAUGAAAGCGGGGGAUCGCAAGACCUCGCGCGAUUGGAGCGGCCGAUAUCAGAUUAGGUAGUUGGUGAGGUAAAGGCUCACCAAGCCGACGAUCUGUAGCUGGUCUGAGAGGACGACCAGCCACACUGGGACUGAGACACGGCCCAGACUCCUACGGGAGGCAGCAGUGGGGAAUUUUGGACAAUGGGCGCAAGCCUGAUCCAGCAAUGCGCGUGCAGGAUCGAAGGCC
rnacentral:rRNA from 1 species